UAGCUCAGUCUGUAAAGCAUCUGCCUGCAAUGCAGGAGACCCAGGUUCGAUCCCUGG
rnacentral:tRNA from 1 species